rnacentral:rRNA from 1 species
GGCGGAAUGCUUUACACAUGCAAGUCGAACGGCAGCACGGAGAGCUUGCUCUCUGGUGGCGAGUGGCGAACGGGUGAGUAAUAUAUCGGAACGUGUCCAAUAAUGGGGGAUAACGAGUCGAAAGGUUGGCUAAUACCGCAUACGCCCUACGGGGGAAAGCUAGGGACCUUCGGGCCUGGCGUUAAUGGAGCGGCUGAUAUCUGAUUAGCUAGUAGGUGAGGUAAAGGCUCACCUAGGCGACGAUCAGUAGCUGGUCUGAGAGGGCGACCAGCCACACUGGAACUGAGACACGGUCCAGACUCCUACGGGAGGCAGCAGUGGGGAAUUUUGGACAAUGGGCGAAAGCCUGAUCCAGCCAUUCCGCGUGAGUGAAGAAGGCCUUCGGGUUGUAAAGCUCUUUCGCAAGGGAAGAAAACUUAGGCGCUAAUAUCGCUUGAGGUUGACGGUACCUUGAUAAGAAGCACCGGCUAACUACGUGCCAGCAGCCGCGGUAAUACGUAGGGUGCGAGCGUUAAUCGGAAUUACUGGGCGUAAAGCGUGCGCAGGCGGUUUUGUAAGUCAGAUGUGAAAUCCCCGAGCUCAACUUGGGAACUGCGUUUGAAACUAUAAGACUAGAAUAUGUCAGAGGGGGGUAGAAUUCCACGUGUAGCAGUGAAAUGCGUAGAGAUGUGGAGGAAUACCAAUGGCGAAGGCAGCCCCCUGGGAUAAUAUUGACGCUCAUGCACGAAAGCGUGGGGAGCAAACAGGAUUAGAUACCCUGGUAGUCCACGCCCUAAACGAUGUCUACUAGUUGUUGGUGGAGUAAAAUCCAUGAGUAACGCAGCUAACGCGUGAAGUAGACCGCCUGGGGAGUACGGUCGCAAGAUUAAAACUCAAAUGAAUUGACGGGGGCCCGCAC